GAUGAACGCUGGCGGCGUGCCUAAUACAUGCAAGUCGAGCGAACGGACGAGAAGCUUGCUACUCUGAUGUUAGCGGCGGACGGGUGAGUAACACGUGGAUAACCUACCUAUAAGACUGGGAUAACCUCGGGAAACCGGAGCUAAUACCGGAUAAUAUUUUGAACCGCAUGGUUCAAAAGUGAAAGACGGUCUUGCUGUCACUUAUAGAUGGAUCCGCGCUGCAUUAGCUAGUUGGUAAGGUAACGGCUUACCAAGGCAACGAUGCAUAGCCGACCUGAGAGGGUGAUCGGCCACACUGGAACUGAGACACGGUCCAGACUCCUACGGGAGGCAGCAGUAGGGAAUCUUCCGCAAUGGGCGAAAGCCUGACGGAGCAACGCCGCGUGAGUGAUGAAGGUCUUCGGAUCGUAAAACUCUGUUAUUAGGGAAGAACAUAUGUGUAAGUAACUGUGCACAUCUUGACGGUACCUAAUCAGAAAGCCACGGCUAACUACGUG
rnacentral:rRNA from 1 species